CUGGAGCUUUCAGGAUUCAGAGGCCAUUGAGUCCGUCCUCUGUCUCCUCUCCCCACAAAUGAGAAUCUCCUGCCCUCUGACCAAUCACCUAGGGGGAGCAGUACCACAAUCACCCUCUGACAAGGCUGUUGACAGGCUCCGGAUGCAGGAGAGGAGUCGUGUGUGACCGCCUGGUGAAACUGACUACAAAAUCCUGCCGGUCCACUUUUUCAUGAUGCUGUGUGAUUCUGGAAACUCCUCGUCGCUGGGCUGCAGUGACCACGAAGAACAGAAUGAGACUAGAUGGUUUCUGGGGACCCUUUCCACUGAAUCCAGCCAGCCGCCUUCGUUCAACAAAGGAAUGUGACCAUCUUAAAGACAGAACAACUAAGCCUCAAAGAGGUAACAGGACUCGUUCAAGGUCACGUGAUGCGUCAGAGACAAAGGGGGGAGCCAGAGCCCUGGGACCCCGGCCGCCAGGGAGCCGGCACCACAUCUGGAGGUAGGGCCCAGAGCUCUCUCUCUAUAUCUGUGUGACCUAGACAAAUUACUCCCAGUCUCUGAUCCUCUUGAAGGAUUCUUAAAUGAAGAUCAAAUAAAAUCAGGAGCACGAAUGCUUACACGACCCCACCAUUGGCCCAGGCCUGGAUA